rnacentral:rRNA from 1 species
GACGAACGCUGGCGGCGUGCUUAACACAUGCAAGUCGAACGGACCUUCGGGUUAGUGGCGAACGGGUGAGUAACACGUGGGUGAUCUGCCCUGCACUUUGGGAUAAGCCUGGGAAACUGGGUCUAAUACCGAAUGUGAUCGCUGGCUUCAUGGCUGGUGGUGGAAAGCUUUUGCGGUGUGGGAUGGGCCCGCGGCCUAUCAGCUUGUUGGUGGGGUAAUGGCCUACCAAGGCGACGACGGGUAGCCGGCCUGAGAGGGUGACCGGCCACACUGGGACUGAGAUACGGCCCAGACUCCUACGGGAGGCAGCAGUGGGGAAUAUUGCACAAUGGGCGCAAGCCUGAUGCAGCGACGCCGCGUGAGGGAUGACGGCCUUCGGGUUGUAAACCUCUUUCGCCAGGGACGAAGCGCAAGUGACGGUACCUGGAGAAGAAGGACCGGCCAACUACGUGCCAGCAGCCGCGGUAAGAC